UUUGGUUAAGUUAGAAAGGGCGCACGGUGGAUGCCUUGACACUAGGAGUCGAUGAAGGACGGGACUAACGCCGAUAUGCUUCGGGGAGCUGUAAGUAAGCUUUGAUCCGAAGAUUUCCGAAUGGGGAAACCCACCAUACGUAAUGGUAUGGUAUCCUUAUCUGAAUACAUAGGGUAAGGAAGACAGACCCAGGGAACUGAAACAUCUAAGUACCUGGAGGAAGAGAAAGCAAAUGCGAUUUCCUGAGUAGCGGCGAGCGAAACGGAACAUAGCCCAAACCAAGAGGCUUGCCUCUUGGGGUUGUAGGACAUUCUAUACGGAGUUACAAAGGAACGAGGUAGACGAAGCGACCUGGAAAGGUCCGUCGUAGAGGGUAACAACCCCGUAGUCGAAACUUCGUUCUCUCUUGAAUGUAUCCUGAGUACGGCGGAACACGUGAAAUUCCGUCGGAAUCUGGGAGGACCAUCUCCCAAGGCUAAAUACUCCCUAGUGAUCGAUAGUGAACCAGUACCGUGAGGGAAAGGUGAAAAGCACCCCGGAAGGGGAGUGAAAGAGAUCCUGAAACCGUGUGCCUACAAAUAGUCAGAGCCCGUUAAUGGGUGAUGGCGUGCCUUUUGUAGAAUGAACCGGCGAGUUACGAUCCCGUGCGAGGUUAAGCUGAAGAGGCGGAGCCGCAGCGAAAGCGAGUCUGAAUAGGGCGUUUAGUACGUGGUCGUAGACCCGAAACCAGGUGAUCUACCCAUGUCCAGGGUGAAGUUCAGGUAACACUGAAUGGAGGCCCGAACCCACGCACGUUGAAAAGUGCGGGGAUGAGGUGUGGGUAGCGGAGAAAUUCCAAUCGAACCUGGAGAUAGCUGGUUCUCCCCGAAAUAGCUUUAGGGCUAGCCUUAAGUGUAAGAGUCUUGGAGGUAGAGCACUGAUUGGACUAGGGGUCCUCAUCGGAUUACCGAAUUCAGUCAAACUCCGAAUGCCAAUGACUUAUCCUUAGGAGUCAGACUGCGAGUGAUAAGAUCCGUAGUCAAAAGGGAAACAGCCCAGACCGCCAGCUAAGGUCCCAAAGUGUGUAUUAAGUGGAAAAGGAUGUGGAGUUGCUUAGACAACUAGGAUGUUGGCUUAGAAGCAGCCACCAUUUAAAGAGUGCGUAAUAGCUCACUAGUCGAGUGACUCUGCGCCGAAAAUGUACCGGGGCUAAAUACACCACCGAAGCUGCGGAUUGAUACCAAUGGUAUCAGUGGUAGGGGAGCGUUCUAAGGACAGUGAAGUCAGACCGUAAGGACUGGUGGAGUGCUUAGAAGUGAGAAUGCCGGUAUGAGUAGCGAAAGACGGGUGAGAAUCCCGUCCACCGAAUGCCUAAGGUUUCCUGAGGAAGGCUCGUCCGCUCAGGGUUAGUCAGGACCUAAGCCGAGGCCGACAGGCGUAGGCGAUGGACAACAGGUUGAUAUUCCUGUACCACCUCUUUAUCGUUUGAGCAAUGGAGGGACGCAGAAGGAUAGAAGAAGCGUGCGAUUGGUUGUGCACGUCCAAGCAGUUAGGCUGAUAAGUAGGCAAAUCCGCUUAUCGUGAAGGCUGAGCUGUGAUGGGGAAGCUCCUUAUGGAGCGAAGUCUUUGAUUCCCCGCUGCCAAGAAAAGCUUCUAGCGAGAUAAAAGGUGCCUGUACCGCAAACCGACACAGGUAGGCGAGGAGAGAAUCCUAAGGUGUGCGAGAGAACUCUGGUUAAGGAACUCGGCAAAAUGACCCCGUAACUUCGGGAGAAGGGGUGCUUUCUUAACGGAAAGCCGCAGUGAAUAGGCCCAAGCGACUGUUUAGCAAAAACACAGCUCUCUGCGAAGCCGUAAGGCGAAGUAUAGGGGGUGACACCUGCCCGGUGCUGGAAGGUUAAGGAGAGGGGUUAGCGUAAGCGAAGCUCUGAACUGAAGCCCCAGUAAACGGCGGCCGUAACUAUAACGGUCCUAAGGUAGCGAAAUUCCUUGUCGGGUAAGUUCCGACCCGCACGAAAGGUGUAACGAUUUGGGCACUGUCUCAACCAGAGACUCGGUGAAAUUAUAGUACCUGUGAAGAUGCAGGUUACCCGCGACAGGACGGAAAGACCCCGUGGAGCUUUACUGUAGCCUGAUAUUGAAUUUUGGUACAUUUUGUACAGGAUAGGCGGGAGCCUUUGAAACCGGAGCGCUAGCUUCGGUGGAGGCGCUGGUGGGAUACCGCCCUGAAUGUAUUGAAAUUCUAACCUACGGGUCUUAUCGACCCGGGAGACAGUGUCAGGUGGGCAGUUUGACUGGGGCGGUCGCCUCCUAAAGUGUAACGGAGGCGCCCAAAGGUUCCCUCAGAAUGGUUGGAAAUCAUUCGUAGAGUGCAAAGGCAUAAGGGAGCUUGACUGCGAGACCUACAAGUCGAGCAGGGACGAAAGUCGGGCUUAGUGAUCCGGUGGUUCCGCAUGGAAGGGCCAUCGCUCAACGGAUAAAAGCUACCCCGGGGAUAACAGGCUUAUCUCCCCAAGAGUCCACAUCGACGGGGAGGUUUGGCACCUCGAUGUCGGCUCAUCGCAUCCUGGGGCUGUAGUCGGUCCCAAGGGUUGGGCUGUUCGCCCAUUAAAGCGGUACGCGAGCUGGGUUCAGAACGUCGUGAGACAGUUCGGUCCCUAUCCGUCGUGGGCGUAGGAAAUUUGAGAGGAGCUGUCCUUAGUACGAGAGGACCGGGAUGGACGCACCGCUGGUGUACCAGUUGUUCUGCCAAGGGCAUAGCUGGGUAGCUAUGUGCGGAAGGGAUAAGUGCUGAAAGCAUCUAAGCAUGAAGCCCCCUCAAGAUGAGAUUUCCCAUAGCGUAAGCUAGUAAGAUCCCUGAAAGAUGAUCAGGUUGAUAGGUUCGAGGUGGAAGCAUGGUGACAUGUGGAGCUGACGAAUACUAAUAGAUCGAGGACUUAACCAUAUAAUAUGUA
rnacentral:rRNA from 1 species